CAGUUUAAGCUGGUGUUAAAGUAGACAAGCAGACUGGUUAAGACCACCAAGACUAAAUGAAGUUGUUUGUCACAGACAUCUUAGGAGGAAGAGAAUACAGAUACCAGACAUUUUCUUUACUAAAAUGGACAGUUUUUUUUUCUUUCUUUUUUUCCUUUUAAAAGAUUUUUUAUAUAGAAGAAAUCUGAAAAUUUGGAGGCAGCACCGGCUUUUUUUAAAUGAAGAAUGGUGUAUAUGAACUGAGUCUGUCUGCAUGAUGCAGCUCUGAUUUCUUGGAAUAGAAACCCUAACUAAGACACAUCCCUAAGCAGAAACUACUGCGGGUGAAGAAAAUCUACUUUGGGUCCCAAUGCGACUGAAAAGGACUGUGAAAGAACAAUAUGAACCCCAAGAUGAUUCUCUUACUCCUGAUGAUUGAGACCGGGAUAAGUAUACCCUUGUAGGCCAAAGUCUAUCGAAUUAUCUGAAAGGGGAACUGGUCGCAGAAGCUGGAAAGGUUGCAGACGAAGCUACAGAUACAGAUCCUGAACCUUAUUGGAACCAGAGUGGAACCAGUGACCCUUGGAGACUUCACCUCUUGACUUACCUCUGCAUUUUUCUCACUUCAAAGAAUGGGUGGGGGUGGCUCUGUUUAGCGCAGCCCUGUGUUGUGGAUUAGUGCUUAUACUAUGACUGGUUUGCAAACUCAGAUCUCAGCAGAAACGUGACAAGGUGGUAAUUGCUCAAGCACUUGCUGCCAUAGAGCAAGGCACCUCCCCUGAAAUUUGGCUAUCUAUUCUCAAGAAUUAGUUGGCAUUUGAGUUCUCUGCCUUUGCAUUCCACGAAUUUGUGGAUACAUUGCAUUGAGAUGAGAGAAACUCAACGAUCAUUGAUCAACCCGUGUGCAUUGCUGAGGUUUCCUCAUUGCAUGUGAUAGAAUGACCAUGAUUUCCCCACUAAUUUAUUUUUGGCUGGCCUCUUCUGUAGAGUUCACCCUAGGCCAUUUAGCAGUUGUAGUCACACAGCACUGUGGUAUCCAGAGACGGGCAACUUUCCUCGUGCACAGACCAACCUAAGACAAUGGGGCCCGGUGGUGAUAGGGUUACCCGAUAACGGGUAAGGCUGUGACAUUGGAGGAACGACCUAAAACAGGGGCCACAGCAGAUGGACGUAACUACAGAGGCCUAGACCAGCCUCAUUUUUAUUAAAACAUAAAGGGGGAGAUGUGGAGAGCCGCAAUAACAUUUACCAUCUUAAGAUGGCGCUGGCUCCGCAGUGCCUUAUGCCACCUAAACAAAGAACAAGCUAUAUGUGCAUCUGCUAAAAGCAAAAACCCACCAAAAGUCACCAGCCCAUUUCCAGGGCACCGGUCCAUCCCCCAGGGCACUAGCCCAACCCCUGGGGCGUUUAGCCUAUCCCUAGGGUGCAUGAGAUUUGUGGGUGUAGCUACCAGUCCUAGUUUAGACACGUCACCAAAAAGUAUUUAAGCCACACACUUUCUGAGCCUUCUUUGUCUACCUCAAUAUGUUAUGAAGUAAAGUUAACCAUGAAAGAA
rnacentral:lncRNA from 1 species